CUGCUCAGAUUGAACGCUGGCGGCGUGCUUAACACAUGCAAGUCGAGCGAGAAAGCUCUCUUCGGAGAGUGAGUAGAGCGGCGCACGGGUGAGUAACGCGUGGAUAAUCUGCCCUGAAGAUCGGGAUAACAGUUGGAAACGGCUGCUAAUACCGUAUAAUCUGCAUAUUUAGCUUUAUGUGGGAAAGAUGGCCUCUAUUUAUAUGCUAUCGCUUUUGGAUGAGUCCGCGUCUCAUUAGCUUGUUGGUGGGGUAAUGGCCUACCAAGGCAACGAUGAGUAGCUGGUCUGAGAGGAUGAUCAGCCACACUGGGACUGAAACACGGCCCAGACUCCUACGGGAGGCAGCAGUGGGGAAUAUUGCGCAAUGGGGGAAACCCUGACGCAGCGACGCCGCGUGUAGGAAGAAGGCCUUCGGGUCGUAAACUACUGUCAAGAGGGAAGAAACUGUUGGACAUUAAUACGGUCCAUCACUGACGGUACCUCUAGAGGAAGCACCGGCUAACUCCGUGCCAGCAGCCGCGGUAAUACGGAGGGUGCGAGCGUUAAUCGGAAUCACUGGGCGUAAAGCGUGCGUAGGCGGCGUGUCAAGUCAGACGUGAAAGCCCUCGGCUCAACCGGGGAAUUGCGUUUGAAACUGAUAUGCUAGAGUCUCGGAGAGGUUGGCGGAAUUCCAGGUGUAGGAGUGAAAUCCGUAGAUAUCUGGAGGAACACCGGUGGCGAAGGCGGCCAACUGGACGAGUACUGACGCUGAGGUACGAAAGCGUGGGUAGCAAACAGGAUUAGAUACCCUGGUAGUCCACGCUGUAAACGAUGGAUAUUAGGUGUCGGGGUUUAACUUCGGUGCCGCAGUUAACGC
rnacentral:rRNA from 1 species